GCGCAUGCUCUGGGCCCGCAGUUGAAGUGGCGAGAGCGCUCAGAUACGCGACGCGUAGCAGGCGGGGACCGAACGGGUGCCUCAGUGUCCUUCCCCUCCCCUCGCCUGGCCUCGCCGUCCUCUCCCCGCAGCCGGACCGGAACUAUGUGAUCCCGGAAGUUCCGGGGCCUUUGCUGUGUGGGAUAAACAGUAAUGGCGGAGGCUGCAACUCCCGGAACAACAGCCACAACAUCAGGAGCAGGAGCGGCAGCGGCGACGGCGGCAGCAGCCUCCCCCACCCCGAUCCCCACAGUCACCGCCCCGUCCCUGGGGGCGGGCGGAGGGGGCGGCGGCAGCGACGGCAGCGGCGGCGGCUGGACUAAACAGGUCACCUGCAGGUAUUUUAUGCAUGGGGUUUGUAAGGAAGGAGACAACUGUCGCUACUCGCAUGACCUCUCUGACAGUCCGUAUAGUGUAGUGUGCAAGUAUUUUCAGCGAGGGUACUGUAUUUAUGGAGACCGCUGCAGACGGAGUCUCACUCUGUCGCCCAGGCUGGAGUACAGUGGCAUGAUCUCGGCUCACCACAACCUCUGUCUCCUGGGUUCAAGUGAUUCUCCUACCUCAGCCUCCCGAGUAGUUGGGAUUACAGAUAUGAAC
rnacentral:lncRNA from 1 species